AGAAAGCAUUACUGGUUUGCGUGGUUGCUUUAUUCAAGUUGUUUCAAAGUUUAUACCUAAGUUGGAGAAAUAAACCGCCAGUUAUGUCACCAAAGCAUCGUCACUGAUUUUCCGUGAUAUGGAUAAUAUAUCAGGCGAGAACCGUAAUGCAUUACUGGUAAUUUUAGGAUUAAUGCUUCUAACUGCAACCUACCAAGCCACACUUAGCCCGCCUGGUGGUGUUUGGCAGGAUGAAAUCAAAGGAGGAA